GGAGGAAGGUGGGGAUGACGUCAAGUCAUCAUGGCCCUUACGGCCAGGGCUACACACGUGCUACAAUGGCGUAUACAGAGGGAAGCGACCUCGCGAGAGCAAGCGGAACCCACAAAGUACGUCGUAGUCCGGAUCGGAGUCUGCAACUCGACUCCGUGAAGUCGGAAUCGCUAGUAAUCGCAAAUCAGAAUGUUGCGGUGAAUAUGUUCCCGGGCCUUGUACACACCGCCCGUCACACCAUGGGAGUUUGUUGCACCAUAAGUAGGUAGUCUAACCGCAAGGAGGACGCUUACCACGGUGUGGCCGAUGACUGGGGU
rnacentral:rRNA from 1 species